UACGUAGGGUGCGAGCGUUAAUCGGAAUUACUGGGCGUAAAGCGUGCGUAGGCGGUUUGUUAAGACAGGUGUGAAAUCCCCGGGCUUAACCUGGGAACUGCGCUUGUUACUGGCAGACUGGAGUGUGGCAGAGGGGGGUGGAAUUCCAGGUGUAGCAGUGAAAUGCGUAGAUAUCUGGAGGAACACCGAUGGCGAAGGCAGCCCCCUGGGCUAACACUGACGCUGAUGCACGAAAGCGUGGGGAGCAAACAGG
rnacentral:rRNA from 1 species